AGCUCCAAUAGCGUAUAUUAAAGUUGCUGCAGUUAAAAAGCUCGUAGUUGGAUUUGUGGCGCGGUCGUCCGGCGGGGCUUCCGGUUUCAUAGUAUCCCGGGGCCGUUUGUCUGGGUUCUUGGCCGCCCCAUUCUUCGGUUGCGUGUCGCUGGCAUUAGGUUGUCGGCUUCUUCGCGCCGAUCGUUUACUGUGAAAAAAUUAGAGUGCUCAAAGCAGGCUUUACACGCUUGAAUAUUCGUGCAUGGAAUAAUAGAAUAGGAUGUGAUUUCUAUUUUGUUGGUUUUCGGAAAUUCACAUAAUGAUUAAUAGGGACAGUCGGGGGCAUUAGUAUUCAGACGAUAGAGGUGAAAUUCUUGGACCGUCUGAGGACUAACUACUGCGAAAGCAUUUGCCAAGAAUG
rnacentral:rRNA from 1 species